AUGGCACUCCAACGACCUCCACUGUUGCUCCUUUGCUUCCAUCUGCUGGCUGCAUUACACACAACCUCCUAUGCGGCCUUGAGCUCACACCUGCCGCAAGCCAUGGACUGUUCAACGUCCGGGAACUACACCUCUACCAGUGCCUACGCCGCCAACCUGAACAAAUUCCUUGCUUCCCUCCCGGAGAAGACUAUCUUCAAGAACGGUGGCUUCAUCAACGACACGGUCGGGGAGGGCACGGGCACUGUGUACGGCCUCGCAAUGUGCUCCGCUGACUACUCGCGCUCUGACUGCGGUGACUGCCUCGCGGCCGCUGCCAGCAGCAACGCUAAUGGUCUGCCGAACCGCUGCCCUGGGAGCACCACUGUGCUCGCCUGGUUCGACCCGUGCCUCGUCCGCUACUCUGACACCAACUUCUUUGGCACCGCUCAGACAGGUGAAAUCUACACGCUGAAUGGUCCAAGAGCCAUCUGGGAGCCGCUGCAGUACCGUAACGACGUAGUCAGAAACUUGAACGAGUCGAUAGCGGCCGCAGUGGCCUCGUCGCAGCGAUUCGCGGCAUCGUCGACGGAUCCAUACACGUUGGUUCAGUGCACGUGGGACCUGCCGCCGGACCAGUGCAAGCAGUGCCUGGACGUGCUGACGGCCAAUGCGUCGAAGGACUGGACAUCCAUGGCAGUAGAUGGUAAGCGUAGGAGCUACAGCUGUUCUGUUAGGUACGGCAACACAAGCUUCGUGGUUGUGCCGUUCGGUGGUGCCCCUACGCCGCAAUCUGUAGAUCAAGCGACCACAUCAGCUAAUCAGUCGAGCAGCGCCGCGGGGAAAGGUUCUCUGACAGCUGGCGUGGUGGGUUCUGUAGUUGGCCUAAUUUUGUUGGCUUGUGCAUGUUUGAUUUGGUAUCGACGGAAUGGCACAGCAGGGAAUGAACGAAAGUUUUUUCGUUUGCAUAAGACACAGACGGACACGCAAACGCUAGCACACCCAAAUGCUCACAAAUUCACUUACCAACAAUUGGUGGGUGCAACCCGUGACUUCGCAGACACGCGAAGGCUUGGACAGGGUGCCUUUGGUGUUGUCUAUAAAGGUGCAGUGAUGGUGCAAGACAAAGAGGUGGACGUGGCUAUAAAAACGGCACUUGUUGUGUCAGAUGAAGCUAGGGCUGCCUUUAAGAACGAGGUUGAGAUUAUGAGCCCGCUGAACCAUUCCAACAUUAUACGUCUUGUGGGUUCGUGCGACGAAGAGGACAAUCUCUUGCUUGUUUACGAACUAGUGGAGGAUCGCAACCUUCAGGCUCGGCUUUAUGGCCGUGGUGCUCGUGUGGACGCAGAACUAACCGGUGUAAGGGCUCGGGGUUCAAGCCUUGAUCUAGAUUGGCGGAAAAGGUAUAACAUACUGCUUGGAAUAACCUGGGGUCUUGAAUACCUCCAUGCUAAAUGCGCUAAAUGUGUCCUGCAUAGGGACAUCAAGCCAGGCAAUGUGAUGCUGGAUAGGGACUCCAAUGCUAAACUGUGUGACUUCGGGCUGGUGACGCAACUCACCCACGCAAUAACCUCACGCUCGACGAACAACAUCAUUGGAACACAAGUCUACAUGGACCCAGCAUACCGGAACACCGGGAAGAUAACUAAGGAAUCUGAUGUGUACAGCUUCGGUGUGCUGUUGCUUGAGGUUGUAUGUGGCGAGGAGCCAGUCCUAAUUGACGGCGCUGGGAAAAACAGCCUCAUCGAGAAGGUCCGAGAAUGUGAGAAGAGAAAUGCAAUUCUCGAUGCAGCUGACCAACAACUAAGGGGCGAGUUUGAUGAGGAAAUCAAAGCAGCACUAUCGAUUGGGCUCUGUUGUGUCGAAACAAGACGUGGUGACCGUCCAACAAUCCAAAUUGUGUUGGGCCGGUUAUUAAGCCUGACCGGCAAAUUAGCUUCCAAUAACCGCCAUCCAAACGCAGUCUGUGAUGAGGUGUGA
rnacentral:rRNA from 1 species